GACGAACGCUGGCGGCGUGCCUAAUACAUGCAAGUUGAGCGCUGAAGGUUGGUACUUGUACCGACUGGAUGAGCAGCGAACGGGUGAGUAACGCGUGGGGAAUCUGCCUUUGAGCGGGGGACAACAUUUGGAAACGAAUGCUAAUACCGCAUAAAAACUUUAAACACAAGUUUUAAGUUUGAAAGAUGCAAUUGCAUCACUCAAAGAUGAUCCCGCGUUGUAUUAGCUAGUUGGUGAGGUAAAGGCUCACCAAGGCGAUGAUACAUAGCCGACCUGAGAGGGGGAACAGGCACCAUGGGGACUAAGACACGCCCAAAACUCCUAGGGGAGCAGCCAUAAGGGAAUCUCCGGAAUUGGAGGAAGUCUUGACCGAGCAAGGCGGGGGAGGUAAGGAGGUUUUCGGAUUGUAAAAACCUGGUGGGUAGGAAAAACCGUUGUGAGGGUGGAAAGGCUCAUCAGGUACCGUAACCAACCAGAAAGGGACGGCUAACUACGUG
rnacentral:rRNA from 1 species